AGUAACGCGUGAGGAACCUGCCUCAAAGAGGGGGACAACAGUUGGAAACGACUGCUAAUACCGCAUAAGCCCACGGCUCGGCAUCGAGCAGAGGGAAAAGGAGUGAUCCGCUUUGAGAUGGCCUCGCGUCCGAUUAGCUGGUUGGUGAGGUAACGGCCCACCAAGGCGACGAUCGGUAGCCGGACUGAGAGGUUGAACGGCCACAUUGGGACUGAGACACGGCUCAG
rnacentral:rRNA from 1 species